ACCUCGCAGUACAGAGCUACUGGGUUCAAUUCCAGCUCCGGCCUCCCUGUGUGGAGUUUGCACGUUCUCCCCGGGCCUGCGUGGGUUUUCUCCGGGUGUACUCCGAUUUCCUCCCGCAUUCCAAAAACAUGCAUGUCAGGUUAAUGGAACACUCUAAAUUGUCCCAAGGUGUGAGUGUGAAUGCGUAUGGUUGUUCAUUUACAGUAUGUGUGCCCUGUGAUUGGCUGGCAACCAGUCUGCAGCACAGUCCAAGAUAACAACUGGGUAGUUCCAAACAAUUUCCAAACCCUUUCCAUGUGUCAUCUGCAAGGUAUUAACCAUUACUCAAGUUAUUUCGAGACGCGUGUCAUCAUUGGCAGGAAUUUCAAAUGGCCUUACUUCACAAGGUGGCUAUGCGUUGAUUAGCCGGUGGCUCGUGUUGAUGGUGUGAGCCCUUUUCGAGAGUGUAUGGCGGCAGAAUUAACACAUGCCUCAGUGUUGUUGUCAUCUCCCUCACAGCUCUGCCAUUUGAUCUCACCUUCGCUGCACCCCACUGACAUGCCUCUCUGCUCCCGUCAGUUUUCUUUUACUUCAAAAUCUAUUUUCAUACCUCCAAAUGAUACAUUCCAUUAAAAAAAUAUAUAAAGAG